rnacentral:misc_RNA from 1 species
UACGUAGGGGGCAAGCGUUGUCCGGAAUUAUUGGGCGUAAAGCGCGCGCAGGCGGCUUUUUAAGUCUGAUGUGAAAGGCCACGGCUCAACCGUGGGAGUGCAUUGGAAACUGGGGAGCUUGAGUGCAGGAGAGGGGAGUGGAAUUCCACGUGGAGCGGUGAAAUGCGUAGAUAUGUGGAGGAACACCAGUGGCGAAGGCGGCUCUCUGGCCUGUAACUGACGCUGAGGCGCGAAAGCGUGGGGAGCGAACAGG